UAGGGGGAGUGAAGGACAGUUUUAAGUGCUGAAUGUUUUUGCCCUGUUCUGCUCAGAAGAAGGAGAGAAGAGUCAAGAGCAGCAGCCCUCCUCUUUCUGAAUGGAGCUGUGUGCUAUCAGACUGAUAGGAUCAGCAAACUUCCGAAAGCCUGCAGGGAGCAACAGGAGAGAAUUGACUGUCUGCAAGGACGUUGCCCAGGGGACACCCGGAUGUUUUGAUGUUUUACCAUCCUUGUGGGAGGCUUCUCUCAUGUCCCCGCAUGGAGCUGGAGCUGAUAGAGGGAGCUCAUCCGCGCUCUCCCCGGGUGGGAUUCGAACCUGGCAGCCUUCAGGUCAGCAACCCAACCUUCAAGUCAUGAGGCUUUUAUCCCCUAGGCCACUGGAGGCUCCAUAAUAUCAGUGCUGAAUUAUGGUUACCACUUUUUUCUGAGAGACUCAUCAACUUUAAUAUCUUGAUGGCAGGUACGUACAACUUGGUCCUUUCCAUACUUGGAAUAGUUGUACCUUCUGAUUUUGACCAGUUCAAAUUUGAGGCAGCAGAGGCAGAGGCGGCGGCAAUGGGGGAGGGGUAUUUCAAUGUGUUUUGAGAGAUGAGAUUUACAACAAUUCAUACAUUUCUUCCUAUUAGACUUGGGGAAGAGCUCAUGCUUUUUAGUGAUCCAAGAAAGACAAUACAGGAGCAAAUGAAAUUGGCAGGUUCUUCCUGCUGUAAACAAUAUUCUGUGGUUGAGAGGAGAAUCGAAUCCUGGCUUCCUACAGUUGGGGUCUGAAAUCAUUACACAAUACUAGCACUUUUUGUGUCAUAUGAUACCUCUUUACAACCAUCACUUGGGCUCACUCUUACUACACCAUUCGAGGCAGGCAAGAGGGAGUGGAGAGAUGACUAUGGAAGGCUAUAGCUUUCUUGAUCCCCUCUGAGGUCUUACUCACUUGGCUCCACUUCUCCACUGCUCAAGAUUUUCUUUUGCAAAGAAGUCCAUCCUUCUCCAUCCUUCCAGUGUCGUGCUGGAGGAGGAGGCUAUAGCUUUUCUUGAUCCUCUCUCACUUGGUUCCACUUCUCUACUGUUCAAGAUUUUCAUCACCAUAAGCCCUCUUCACUAACUCUAUAGUUUUCAAAAACAAACAAUAGGGGAAAUCAUUAAAUUAUUCAUUCUCCUCUGCAAGAACAGCACAUCCCGAAAUGUUAUCCCAUGUAUGAAAGCACAUGCAGUCAUAACCAAAAUAUAGAUAGAGGGGAAUUCAAAUCAAUCUGGGAUGAGGAUUGUGCGCUCAUUAUAUAUGAGCAAGAUUGCAUGAAAUGCUGAGUGCAUAAUAACCCCAUAGCUGCCUGGAUAUGACUCUUGAGCAACAUCUUAAAAGUGCAACUACUAGUGUAAGUGUACUUACAUAGGUACAUGUCACCAACAGAAUUCUAGCCCCAGCAUAAUAUCAAUAUAAGGUUUGAGCAGGAGUGCCAGACAAGAAAUUGACCACUGAGGUUAUUUCACUUUCUCAAUUCUGUAUUUCAGUUGAAGUUCAACAGAGUAGGUGCUAAAGGGGGAGGAGAGAGAGCAAGAAAGAGAGCGAGAACAUGAAUACUGCCAAGCUAAGAAUAUGUUGUAUAGCCUUCAGGGUAAAUGGGAAAAUUUCCACUCAAGUUGAAUAGAGAUGGAUUGCACUCUAGUUACAUCAACAGAAUGCAUAAAUAGAUUUGCCUUUUGCUCAUCUGUUCAAUGCCAGUACACAUUUAAAGUGUUAAUAAAAAUGUUCAGAAAAUAGCCUGGGGAGGGGGAGAGAGAAAAAAUAUAAAUGCUGGGUGCAAAAGGAAACAUUAUGUAAGAAUUCAAAAACACUUCUACUAAAAACUUACAACUUGACCUGUAUUUUCUCGAGAUGAGCAGGGCAAGAAAAAUCACUCUUGAAAUGAUUGAGUGGAUCAUGGUUUUUUUCUCCAUAUGGAUAGCUACAGAACCUUCUGACAAAGGUGAACCACCACACAUUUUUCCAUUUCCAACUCCUCAAGAUCUUGUCAGAUUGCAGAGGCAUCCUUGAACUAACAAACAGUUUACAUCAGGAGUCCUCUGCCUUUGAUUCUCUAGAUCAGCGUGGUCCAACUCGCGGCCCGUGGACUACAUGCGGCCCUGCAAUUCAUUCUUGUUGGUCCUUGCCCUUCUUACUGGAAAAAUAUUUUAAUUUAACAUUUGGAAAAAAAAUCAUCAACCCUUCUUACUGCUUACUAAGGAGCCUCCGGUGGCUCAGUGUGUUAGAGUGCUGAGCUGUUGAACUUGCAGGCCAAAAGGUCCCAGGUUCAAAUCCGGGGAGCAGAGUGAGCGCCCACUCUUAGCUCCAGCUUCUACCAAACUAGCAGUUCGAAAACAUGCAAAUGUGAGUAGAUCAAUAGGUACCGCUCCGGCGGGAAGGUAACGGUGUUCCAUGCAGUCAUGCCGGCCACAUGACCUUGGAGGUGUCUACGGACAACACCGGCUCUUCGGCUUAGAAAUGGAGAUGAGUGUCAGAGUAUUUUGCAGCGCAGCAGUAGUUGGAUGGAAUCAGUGGAAUGCAGAACGAAUAGACAUCAGAGACGUUGGUAAAACUAUAUACAAAGUUUUACUGUAAGCAGUAAUAAUCAAGACAAACAGACUUGCAGACAAACACAGGACUUGACUCUCACUCUAGGCAGACAGAACUCAACUCAGAAUUGAACAGAACUGAUGCAAUCAGGAAUGCAUACACACUUGCGUCUGGACACUCCCCAGUUCCAGCCACACAUCAAGGACAUCACAGCUUCUUAGUAAUUAACUCUUUCUAGACUAUGUUACACUCUGGAUGAUGCAAUCAGUAUGCAAUACAGGCAAGACACAAAUUGCACUUAAAUACUAUCAAUACACAAAUCCCACAUUAACAAUUAGCACCAACCCCCAGAGUCGGACACGACUGGACUUAACAUCAGGGGAAACCUUUACCUUUAGCUUUUACUGCUUACUUAUAAUAUGUAAUUCGUUUUCUUUCUGGAAUGUCUCUGGCCCUCACAUUCCUAUACUAAAGUUUGAUUGGCCCUCCGGUAACUAAAGGUUGGACCACACUACUCUAGAUGGUUUGGACUUCAUUUCCCAUAUCCCUUACCAUGGGUUAUGUCUUUUCAUGUUUCUGAGAAUUGAAGUCCAAAGCA
ensembl:lncRNA